rnacentral:rRNA from 1 species
GUCCACGCCCUAAACGAUGUCAACUAGGUGUUGGAAGGGUUAACCUUUAGUGCCGUAGCUAACGCGUGAAGUUGACCGCCUGGGGAGUACGGCCGCAAGGCUAAACUCAAGGAAUUGACGGGGACCCGCACAAGCGGUGGAUGAUGUGGAUUAAUUCGAUGCAACGCGAAAACCUUACCUACCCUUGACAUGUCAGGAAUCCCGGAGAGAUUUGGGAGUGCUCGAAAGAGAACCUGAACACAGGUGCUGCAUGGCUGUCGU